rnacentral:rRNA from 1 species
GACGAACGCUGGCGGCGUGCUUAACACAUGCAAGUCGAACGGGGAAUUUUGCUUCGGUAGAAUUCCUAGUGGCGAACGGGUGAGUAACACGUGAGUAACCUGCCCCAGAGUGGGGGACAACAGUUGGAAACGACUGCUAAUACCGCAUAAGCCCACAGAACCGCAUGGUUCUGGGGGAAAAGGAGCAAUUCGCUUUGGGAUGGACUCGCGUCCGAUUAGCUGGAUGGUGAGGUAACGGCCCACCAUGGCAACGAUCGGUAGCCGGACUGAGAGGUUGAUCGGCCACAUUGGGACUGAGACACGGCCCAG